rnacentral:tRNA from 1 species
GCUUAUGUAGUAUAAAAUAGUACAUGAUCUUUUCACGAUCAAAGUAAAGGUAUCUUUUAUAAGUU